UGGGGAAUAUUGCACAAUGGGGGAAACCCUGACGCAGCGACGCCGCGUGAGCGAAGAAGGCCUUAGGGUUGUAAAGCUCUGUUUUAAGGGACGAAUGUUCAUGGGAGUAAUAUGCCCAUGAAAUGACGGUACCUCAAGAGGAAGCCCCGGCUAACUACGUGCCAGCAGCCGCGGUAAGACGUAGGGGGCGAGCGUUGUCCGGAAUUACUGGGCGUAAAGAGCACGUAGGCGGGAACUUAAGUCAGGUGUGAAAGACCGGGGCUCAACCUCGGGUAUGCACUUGAAACUGGGUUUCUUGAGGGCAGGAGAGGAAAGCAGAAUUCCUGGUGUAGCGGUGAAAUGCGUAGAAAUCAGGAGGAAUACCAGUGGCGAAGGCGGCUUUCUGGACUGACCCUGACGCUGAGGUGCGAAAGCGUGGGUAGCAAACAGG
rnacentral:rRNA from 1 species